rnacentral:tRNA from 3 species
GCCCGAGUAGCUCAGUCGGCAGAGCAGCUGUCUUGUAAACAGCAGGUCGCAGGUUCGAUUCCUGUCUCGGGCU